AAAGAGAAGAAAAGAACACACGCCCUCUCCUCCGCGGCUGAGCGGCUGCGGCUCCGCCUCCUCCCAUCCCACCAUCCCAAACUUCUCUCGCACCAGUCACCCUCCUCCCGUCGCUUGGCCGCUCUCUCUCACUUCGCGCGCGCGCGCGAACCCGCACCUAUCGCCGCCCAUGCCCUCGCGCUCGCGGCUCUGAUCCGGUCGCCAUGCAGCAGCGCUCGCCGACGGCCGCGUCGGCCUCGGCCUCGGCCUCCUCGGUGGCGGCGGCGGCGGGCGUGGGCGGGGUGGAGCCGGCCGUGACGCUCGACCAGGUGCCGCGGUGGAGCGACGCCGACCAGCGCCUCUCCCCCUCCUCAUCCCCCACCGCCGCCGGAUCCGACGAGACCCCCGCCUCGUCGUUCCUCUCGUUCGCCGACCCGCUCAUCGGCGACGGCGCGGCCGCUGGGGCCGGGGGCCGUGGCGCGUCGCGGUUCCCCGUCGACCACGAGAUCAACUCGAAGAUCUGUCUCUGGCGCGGCCACCCGUGGAACCUUGAGGUCGAUGCCGUUGUCAAUUCGACAAAUGAGAACUUGGACGAGGCGCAUAGUAGUCCAGGGCUGCAUGCAGCGGCUGGGCCAGGGCUCGCCGAGGAGUGCACCACCCUGGGUGGUUGCCGGACUGGGAUGGCUAAGAUGACCAAUGCAUAUGAUCUGCCUGCUCGGAAGGUAAUUCAUACUGUGGGCCCUAAAUAUGCUGUCAAGUAUCACACAGCUGCAGAGAAUGCACUUAGCCACUGCUACAGGUCUUGUUUGGAACUUCUCAUUGAGAAUGGUCUGGAAAGCAUUGCAAUGGGUUGCAUAUAUACAGAAGCCAAAAAUUACCCUCGUGAACCGGCUGCUCAUGUUGCAAUAAGAACUGUUAGACGUUUUCUGGAGAAGCAGAAAGGCAAAAUAACUGCUGUUGUCUUUUGUACUACUACAUCAUCUGAUACAGAGAUAUAUAAGCGAUUGCUUCCCCUAUAUUUCCCUCGGGACAAGAAAGAGGAAGAGAUUGCUUCAUUGAAACUUCCAGCUGAUGUUGGGGAUGAGAAUGGUGAAACAAUAAUAGAUGAACGGAAAAUACGAAUAAAACCUUUGCCUGCUGGGUCUGCUAUUAACAAAUCUGCAGCUCCUGCGCCAGUAGAUAUUCCUCUUUCUGAUUCUGGAUUGACACGUAGUAGGAAUUCUUUCAAGUUAGAUUCAUAUUUGGAUCCUGCCUUUAUGUCACUAAUUAAAGAUCCAGAUCUCCGACGCAAGGAGCAGUUGGAAAAGUCUGUUCAGGCAAACAAGGGAUUUAAUUGGGCUAAAUUGGUUGGAUUUGGCGACCUUGGUGGUCCUCCAUUAUCUGCUGCUGAAGAUUAUUCACUUCAUUCAUGACACCUUGCUAAAGCAAAUUCUCUCAGUCUCUCAGAGAUUGCUGAGAUGAAAAUAAUUUACCGCGGUGGAGUUGAUAGUGAAGGGCGUCCUGUUAUGGUGGUUGUUGGUGCUCACUUUCUACUUCGCUGUUUGGAUCUUGAGCGAUUUAUUCUAUAUGUAGUAAAGGAGUUUGAACCAUUGAUUCAAAAGCCUUACUCAAUUGUCUAUUUCCACUCAGCAGCAUCUUUACAAGUGCGACCAGAUUUAGGAUUCAUGAAGCGGUUGCAACAAAUAUUAGGUCGGAAGCAUCAGCGCAAUCUUCAUGCUAUAUAUGUACUUCACCCAACUUUGGGAUUGAGAACAGCUAUAUUGGCUUUGCAGCUUUUCGUUGAUGGGGAGGUCUGGAAGAAAGUUAUCUAUGUCGACAGACUUGUGCAGCUGUUCAGAUACGUACCACGUGAACAACUGACAAUUCCUGAUUUUGUCUUCCAGCAUGAUCUCGAAGUGAAUGGUGGAAAGGGCAUAAUAAUUGACCCUAGAACAAAGCAUGUCUACCAAAGACCAUCAGGUUGAUAAAUAUAGCCUGCUAUAUGCAGAGAUCCUCCAAUACCACACUGUACAAUCUCUUUGCCCUCUAUAGAAGAUUUUCCUUCUUGAUCUGUGCAUUUUGUAUCUAGUUGAGUUGGCAGUGUUUUGUAGCCUUCUAGUCUUUUCUUUCUGUUCUGUCAGGGAAGCGUAGAUUAUUAUGUAUAUGUAUCGCUCUAUAUAAUAAUAAAAAAUGCUGUGGCCGUCUCAAAUUCUCCAGCUAGGCUGGCCUCUUGGGUGCUGUGUAAUUCUGGCUGGUCUUUGCAAUGAACAUAUGUUCGUAGAGAAAUAAAGUGAUCAUUGUCUAAGUGGCCAGGAAAUAACAUCUUCUUAUCUUCCCUUUCAAUAAAGGAUAAUUUGUUCAGUA